AGCUCAGACAGUAAAGCAUCUGCCUGCAAUGCAGAAGUUCCAGGUUUGAUCCCUGG
rnacentral:tRNA from 1 species